CGGAGCGGGCCUCGGGGAAACCCCUCUGC
rnacentral:sRNA from 1 species